rnacentral:rRNA from 1 species
CUACGGGGCGCUGCAGUGGGGAAUAUUGCACAAUGGGCGCAAGCCUGAUGCAGCAACGCCGCGUGAGUGAAGAAGGCCUUCGGGUCGUAAAGCUCUGUCCUCUGGGACGAAGAAAUGACGGUACCAGAGGAGGAAGCCCCGGCUAACUACGUGCCAGCAGCCGCGGUAAUACGUAGGGGGCAAGCGUUAUCCGGAAUCACUGGGCGUAAAGGGUGCGUAGGGGGACUAUCAAGUCAGAAGUGAAAGGCAGUGGCUUAACCAUUGUAAGCUUUUGAAACUGAUGGGCUUGAGUGUAGGAGAGGUAAGUGGAAUUCCUAGUGUAGCGGUGAAAUGCGUAGAUAUUAGGAGGAACACCAGUGGCGAAGGCGACUUACUGGACUAUUACUGACACUGAGGCACGAAAGCGUGGGGAGCGAACAGGAUUAGAUACCCUAGUAGUC